AUUGAACGCUGGCGGCAGGCCUAACACAUGCAAGUCGAGCGAGCGGCGGACGGGUGCGUAAUGUAUGGGGACUUCCCGAUAGAGGGGGAUAACUACUGGAAACGGUAGCUAAUACCGCAUACUAUCGGAUAACCUAUAUGGGAUUAGCUAGUAGGUGAGGUAAUGGCUCACCUAGGCGACGAUCCCUAGCUUGUCUGAGAGGGUGAUCAGCCAAGCUGGGACUGAGACACGGCCCAGACGCCUACGGGGGGAGCAGUGGGGAAGAGUGUACAAUGGGCGCAAGCCUGAUGCAGCAAUGCCGCGUGGAUGAAGAAGGCCCUAGGGUUGUAAAGUACUUUCAGUCGGGAGGCGUUACCGACAGAAGAAGGAACGGCUAACUCCGUGCCAGCAGCCGCGGUAAUGC
rnacentral:rRNA from 1 species